UGCGAUGAUCUUGGUAAGCGUGCAAGCUGCGCUCGAAACUAGAUAGAUGCUGUAAUGUAAUGCGUAGGGCACGGGAAGGCGCCUGGAUUGCCUUUGUGCUCAAAAAUGGUAAGCGUAUAAGUCUCAUUCAGAAGAAGCGGCGUAUCGCACGUACUAAAGGCAAAUGCUAAGUAGUGUCAAACGUGGUUUGCAAGGUUAUCAUUUCGACGCCUAAAAACAACAAGACCCUAGUCUCCACGACACUCCAUGGGGGGUGUGAAAUGAGGUGUGAAGAAGUCCAUCCGUAGGUUGCUAUAGUGAUUUUUUUUCUCACUGUUUCGGCCGUAAGGCCACGUGAGUGCGGCGAGUGAGUGAGAGAAAAGUGAGGUGCACUAUUGCGAUGUGAUAUAUCACAAAGUUCAGGAGCGCGCUUGAAGCAAGGCCGUAUACCGUACGAAGCCAUAAUUUGGCUCGUUUAUGUCGAGAUCUGCCAGUCAUUUUUAGAACGGUAUACGGGAAUGCUCGUAGUCUGUAGGACAAGGUGCGGCACAGCGCCCUGUGCAUGCUGCUCGUCGACAAUGUACGUUAGGAUAACCCUUUACGUUGCGGUGAACCACGAUUCGCUAUGCUAAGACGAAGAUGAGCGGUGGCUAUAGCUUGUAACAUCCUAGCUCCACCGACCUCAGUUCCUCCUUGCCGGACCAUUAGGUUGUUCGAGACAGCGGUGACGAAUCUCUAAGAACGCAUCCAAAUCCUUGUGCUUCUAUAUCGUAUCAUAGAAAAAGUGAUAAACUCCACGCUCAGAACCUCAUCAGGACUUAGUACCGCAAUGCAUUCCUUCUAAUCGGAUGAAAACAUUUUUCUGAUGGCGUGGUGUUUGCUACACUGUUGCCCAGGGCGCCCCAGUUCGCCGCGUUUACGUUGGACUUGCAUUGCAACCACUACGAAAUACUAACAAACGCAGCAGCGCGAUUUUGUCCUUCUACCACCAUAAUAGGACCACUGGCGUUGUAAGGAAAAAGUGGCUCAUGUUGGCCUUCUUCCAUGAAACUAUAAAUUUAAACCUAAUCUCGAGUAUGUUGAACCCGAUUAUUCAAACAUAACCUAGACGCUGUGCAACAAUGAUAAAGAUUGUAAAUUCAACAUACACCGCUUCUGAACCACGGAAUCGAAAAGAAAGGAUGUGUACAAGCAUAUCGACCGAUAGUAAUGUAACCAUUUUGCUUAUAGCGUCUUCAGAUUACCGAACAUAUCAAGAGAUAUCGUCGAUAACUGGGUCGCCCAUUGUUGUCGACGAGCUUCAGAGGUGGCCGCAUACGCGCAACAAUGGAACACUCAUCAUUGAAGCCAAUCAAUCAAUUCAUCAUUAAAAUACGUGACGGAAUAUCUCGGAGCCAAUCAAUCAAUUCAUCAUUAAAAUACGUGACGGAAUAUCUCGGAACACAAUAGCAAAUGGCAACCUGUAUAGUGACGGCUGCCGUAAUGACAGUGAUAAACUUGCCUUUGUCAUGACAUAGCUGUACUAAGUGAUCGCUUGUAUACUAUAAUAUUAAAAAAAAAAAUAUGUAUACUAUAUUAUAUAGUAUGGUAUACCAUUUGAAGCAAAAGUAGCACGGAAAAAAGUAAGCCUGUUCGACGCAGUUUGACCUGGAGGGCUAGCUACUAUUAAUUGAUCAAUUAAAUAAUCUGUGUUCGAAAUAAUCAGUGUAAUACGAUUAUUUAGUUCUUUCAGAAAGAAGCUCUUAUGUCUGUCUUCUAGUG